GGUGUAGCGCAUGGUAGAAGCAAAUACCUGCAGACAAUGCGACCCGCAGGAUGUGGAGUUUGCUUUUCCACUUCGGGGUGAGAAGCAAAGCCGUUUUGAUCUACUUUUCAUCAUGACUACAAAAAGAAGAAGAAGAAGAAAAAAAAAAACCCUCCCGACUUUAUGUUUCUCGUCUCCGCGAUCAUUACUAUUUAAAUAGCUGGUAGUAAUGUGGACAUAAACAUAGCCCCGAGCUUGAAUUACCACCGCCCACCUUCCCCAUUAACCGAUUAAAAGCUUUGCGACUCUCCGCUCGCUUUAUCCCCGGAAAGAGCCACGGGGAGACGGGCGGGACUCUCGGGAGGAUGAGAGCGAACACUCAGCGAGCUUAAUCUGUCGUCUCCGAGGGCUGCGAGCGGGCAGCGGCUGGAUGAACGGGCUCUUUAAAGAGAGACGCUUCUCAGGUGCGGAGGGACACAGUCUGGCAAAUGGCUGCCUUCGGUACUUAUUGAGCACUUUAGCGGAGUUAAUUGGGGCACCCACCUGGGUACGUCUGAUCCGCGGUCGGAGUGCCAGAAGGAUAAUGCCCAGCAGCCCAAUUGAAAGUGUGUGUGUGUGCGUGCGUGUAUGUGUGUCUGUAGAUGUGUUUAUGUGUGCAUUUGUGUGUAUAUGUGCAACCGUGUACGUGUGUGUAUAAUUAUGUAAUAUAUUCAAAUAAAAAUAACAAAGCAUUGAA